ensembl:lncRNA
GCUGAAGCUGAAACUCCAAUACUUUGGCCAUCUCAUGCGAAGAGUUGACUCAUUGGAAAAGACUCUGAUGCUGGGAGGGAUUGGGGGCAGGAGGAGAAGGGGACGACAGAAGAUGAGAUGGCUGGAUGGCAUCACCAACUCGAUGGACACGAGUCUGAGUGAACUCCGGGAGUUGGUGAAUGACAGGGAGGCCUGGCGUGCUGUGAUUCAUGGGGUCGCAAAGAGUCGGACACGACUGAGCGACUGAACUGAACUGAACUGAACUGAAGGUUGGAUAACUUUCCCAAGUUCAUCUAACACCUCUGUUGCUGGGGGAUUUAAUCUAUUGGUCAAUCCCUGCAGGAGCCAACCAUGUGAGCCCAUUAAGAGAACAGUUUAUUCCCACCUGCCGCCUGGAGCCAGCCAACAAUCUUAGCUUCAUCACUCCAUUCUUGAUUAUGUACAGCCAUUCCAAUCCUGAGUGGCAGGAUUUGCAAAGACAGCUGUUGGGCUCCACAAACAUUUGGAGGAGGGGGAAAAUAUGAGGUAUGUUGCUGCAUUCUUCUACUCUUUUUUUACUGAAAGAAACAGCUGCGAGCUUCACAUGAAGGAUGAAGUAAACAAAAGCGCUGAUGCCCAGUACCAUUCAGCAGCCAACAUUUCAAAUGCAUUUUCCCCACCGCGAAUGUCGACGUCAUUCAAAUCCCCCUAGGCUCAGUCCCCCCCACAGCGCGCCGGGGAAAUCGGGGUCUUUGCAUGCAGCGUUCCCUCGACCAAACGCUGCCCACGAUGUGCAAUUCACUCCAAUCAAAGGAGUGUGAUUCAAGUCCCCUGACUCGAUCAGCAUUCCAUUACUGGUUAUCGCACACAGCGUUGUCAAGUUUCAGCAACCUCUGUGGGCACGGGGCAAACACGCAGCGUCAAUCUCUGACAGGCAAGCGUUCUCAGGUUCAGCGGCAGGAGCUUUUGCAAACUGUGCUGGGGCAGUAGAUCUCUUAUAGGAAAGUCAAGGUAUGUUUAGAGGAAUUCUCUGAUUCAGCCAUGGCUGGCUCAUUUCUUUUGUUUCCUCUUCCCUUUUAUUUGCUUAUACAGAAAACAGAGUAUUCAUUUAUUUCUUUUCCCACCCCCCCAUCCCUCUUAACUGCCAGGGCCAUCUGUCCAUAUGCAACCGUCUUUGGUUGCACACUUUUGAAUCCAGGUGACAAUCAAAAUGAAGCAGUGAUUGUCCCUUAAUGUUUUCUCUGAAGGGAUUAAACAUUUUUGAAAGCCUUUGUUUCUGUUUGUUUCAAGUUCUCCAGUUGAAAUACUGUACUCCUUGAAUGGCAGGGAAUAAAGCCUGUGGUCUGAUGUAUUGAAUAAGUGUGUUAAGCAGGGGCACUGUUUUCUAAAUACUCUAAAAUUAAGCAACUUCUUUUUAAAAUGGG